AACACCAUGUACAAAUGAAGCAAGCCAUUUUAGAAGGGGGGAAACUUGGACAUUGUCCAAAGUUUUAAGACACUUUGAAGACAAUUUAGACAUUUGAUACUUGGAAUCCAUGCCCAGUUAUGUCUUCUGUUAAUUGAACAAAACCCUUCAUGCCUACCAUCUUCAACGCAGGACAGGGUACAAGAACUUUAAAAUAAAGACUCACCUCUUCAUGUUCCCGUAACCCCCCUUUACUUCAAUUCGCAGCAGUUUUAUUUGGGGAUAAUCUCAGAUUUCCAAAUUAAAUGUGCUAUUUGAAAGGCCUAAUCCUUCAAUGUGGUUUUAGCUUUUAAACCUCAGAUGCAUCGCUGCUUGAUUCCACAGACCAAUCUGAGCAGAAAGUUGCUUACGUACGCCAUUUAACAAUAUGAGAUUUCAUGUUUUAUUCUUCAUCCAUGUGGGUCUUAUUUCAAUAUUUUGUUUCGAUUUUAUGGUUAUUCGAUGACAAGGGAGAGAGAUGUUAUGGUAUAUCCGAAGGCAACAACGGUGGAUCUGGACAUCGAUAGGAUUCCGGAUUUGAACAACUUCGUCCGUUCUAGAUACCGUCUUUUGGUCUUCAAGUUUUACUAUGCGAGGAAUAGGCAAAGAGCAAUGUGAUUGGUGUCAUGAUGUUCGUAUUCAGAAGGAUAGCACAAUAGGGUGUUGGGGGUCGCAUGAUGAUGACUUGGCAUCUCUUGAGACAUGGAUGGGCAAGCCUUAUGAACAUGCCAAACUUGAUGAACCAGGGUUGCACAUCUAUUUUGAUAUUAUUCUGGU